ensembl:snoRNA SNORD15 Small nucleolar RNA SNORD15
CUGUCAUGACACGAUGAUGAGUCAGAAAGGUCACACCUUGCUCUUAGUCCUUGUCAGUGUCAUGUUCUGUGGUGCUGCACAUGGAUUCCUUUAGCAAAAGUGUCUUAUUCCUUGAUUGAGUUAGAGGCAUUUGUCUGAAAAAGG